AUUCCAACCCCUCCUUCUAUUGUCGUCCCCAAAACCUAACCAAUAUCAAAUUUACUGGCUUCAUCAAAUCAAUCAAUUACAGUAUCAUAAACUUCAUUUGAUUUUACAUAUCCUUCGGAGAUUUCAUUAAAGAUACUAACAACCUGCUAUUUCCUCUAAAUUUGCUUCGACUCAAUUUCAAUUCAUUUUACCUGAUGCUGAACUGCUCUCUGUGAUCUGCACCUUCGAUUCAUGCUUCAGGAAUGAUUGGGUCGAUUCAUCUAUCAAGAGUGAUGGUUGGUUAUGCUUCUUGGAGAACUCCAGUCCACCUGAGUUGGGUGUUUUUUGUGAGUUUAGCAUUGUUGAAAGUUUUGAAUGUUGAGCAAAGCAUUCAAUGGCAAUUUCGCUCUACUAGUUAUUGAUCUUCAAUGGUGGUUAUUUGAUGAUUUAAGUGAUGAAAAUGAACUGAAAUCGAGCGUUUUCGCUUCAAUAGCUAUGCAUCUUCCAUUGUGGUUGGUUAUUUCUUGUUUUAAAUGACAGAGGAUUAAGAGAAAUUGAGAAGAGGGUACAUAAAUUUUUUUCGGUGUUGAAUCUGGGUUUGAGUUUUGACUGUGUGUGAUCUUGUUCUUUGAGACUCAAAAAUCAGUCACAAUUCAACAUUAAGAAAACUUGUCAAUUCAGGUUAGUUAGUCAAAUGCUACCUACCAAGAAACCCCCAGCUUGUAGUUUUCUGAUAUUCAUUUUUUGAAGAAGAAAGAAAAUAGGAGAAUGAAGAUGGCGUUAAUGGUGGUUGUGAGUUGAGGGAGGCGAAGGACUGGUGAAAAAAUAUACUUUUUUAAAAAUCGGAAACUUCUUAUUUUUAUCUCUUUUAUGGAGUAACAUUUUUGUUAAUAAUACAAAAAUAAGUUUGAAAUAAUUAUGACAUGACAUUAAUAUAUCUAUGUGGAUAUGACAUGUCACUUAUGUAAGAGAGAAUGAGCUACACACAUGAUCAGAAGAGUUUAAAAAUCUUAUUUUGAUUGAGUUUAAUGGUUUAGUUGACAAAAGAUUAAGUAGAAGUGUUUAGAAUAAAAACACAUACAAGUACGGGGUCCACCAGACCAUUUCGUCAAUUAGAUAAUUAUAUUUAUACACUUUUAUAUAUAAUGUAAAGUCCUUCACUUAGAGUAUGAUUUUCUAGUUUUAUAUUUAGUUGUCUCAAACAUUUGGUUAUUUUACAAUGUAAAAAAGUGUUUGCUUUGGGAAAGAUGUAACUUUCUAAGUGAUUUUCAAUGGGUUUUUUUUCACUA